GGAUUGCCUCAGUAACGGCGAGUGAAGCGGCAAAAGCUCAAAUUUGAAAUCCUUCGGGAGUUGUAAUUUGUAGGUUGGGAGACCCCGCGGCUAGUGGCACCAAGUCCCUUGGAACAGGGCGCCUUAGAGGGUGAGAGCCCCGUAGGUACCACAAUACCGUCUUGUGUCUCCUCUCCAAAGAGUCGAGUUGUUUGGGAAUGCAGCUCAAAGUGGGUGGUAAAUUCCAUCUAAAGCUAAAUACCGGCGAGAGACCGAUAGCGAACAAGUACAGUGAUGGAAAGAUGAAAAGCACUUUGAAAAGAGAGUGAAACAGUACGUGAAAUUGUUGAAAGGGAAGGGCUUGCAAGCAGACACGGCCUUCGUGCCGGGCCAGCAUCGGUUGCUAGGGGUGGAUAAGGAACAAGGAAUGUAGCUCCUCGGAGUAUUAUAGCCUUGCGCGAUACACCCACUGGCGACCGAGGCCUGCGGUAUUCUUUACCUAGGAUGCUGGCGUAAUG
rnacentral:rRNA from 1 species